UUUCCUCUCCCCGUCCCCAACCUCUCUACUCUCCCCGUCCGCCCUCGUCGAUCGUCGCCAUGGAACGUGCAAUCGGGCCGGCGAAGUGCGGUUGGCCUGACCCGCACGUGUCGGUUCUCCUCGACGUGUUCUCGGAGCUCAAGGACCUUCUCCGCAGUUACGGCCCGAUCCCGGAGCUGUUCAAUCAAGGUUCAGUGUCAGUAUUCUUCUGCUUCCUGCUGAUUUUUUUGAUAAGCUAUCGCUGAUCCAGUCGUUCUUUAGCCUAUUGAGGGAUCAGGGUCUCAUUUAUUCGAAGGAAUGUUGUGAGCUCAAGUACCACCAGAUGACAAACCAGUAUAGGAAGUGGUGUUCAAUCCUCCACCUAGGUACUUGUCUUCUGUUAUAAUAAUCAGAGAUGGAGCUAGGAGGGCGACUAAGGGCUCGUUUGGUUUCACGACUAAAAUCCCUAUUACAUCGAAUAUUUAGAUACUAAUUAGAAAUAUUAAAUAUAGGCUAAAUCUAUUAAACCUAAUUAAUCAUUAAUUAGGUUUAAUAGAUUCGUCUCACGAAUUAGCCUCCAUCCGUGCAAUUGAUUUUAUAAUUAGUUAGUUUUAUAAUUAGCAUUCGAAGAUUCGAUGUGACAAGGAUUAAACCUUAGCUAAGUAUCCAAACAGCCCAUAAGGAAGCCAUCCCCCCACAUGCACUCAUAUAUCUUCUCUCUUGCCAUGCUGUGCUUCAGUUUCAAUUCGUUGAUGCGCUUGUUCAGCCUCAUGGGCGAAGUAGCCUGGGUUACUCCCCUCAAAAGAUUAUCUGAGGGUCUCUAGGGAGAACCUGACAUGACUCACCAUUAAGGCGCUGUUAACAGAGAUCUUGAGGAGCUGGUGCCGGCACAUUGGCCAGACAUGGAAGACGACACAGACUUGGAGGAUGGCAAAUUUAGAUUGAAGUUUUGCAAUUAGUAAUACGUGAUGGUUGAAGAAGUCAAUUUCUUUUACCUUCUGAAAUUUCGGAGCCCACCUUCGAUCACGUAAAGGUAAAAGAAAUUGAACUUUUGAGGGAUCCCCCUCCUCUUCUUUUUCUUCCUCUACCCCACCGAUCCCCCUCCCAUCUCUCCCAUCUCAGGUAGCCGGUGACUCAACAUUUCGGAGUCCUCCUUUUUUCACUGUGCAUUGUAUGUACAUGCCUGAAUUUUUUUAAUAGAUGC
rnacentral:lncRNA from 1 species